GUGAACGACCCUUUCGGGGAGCUUUACACAGGGUUGCUGCAUUGGCUGUCGUCAGCUCGUGUCGUGAGAUGUUCGGUUAAGUCCGCUAACGAGCGCAACCCUCACUGUGUGUUAUACGUGUCACACGGGACUGCCGGUUUUUAAGCCGGAGGAAGCGAGGAUGACGUCAAGUCAGCAUGGCCUUUAUAUCCUGGGCUACACACACGCUACAAUGGUCUGUACAACAGGUUGCCAAACCGCGAGGUGGAGCCAAUCCCUAAAACAGGCCUCAGUUCAGAUUGCAGGCUGCAACCCGCCUGCAUGAAGCCGGAGUUGCUAGUAACCGCAGGUCAGCUAUACUGCGGUGAAUACGUUCCCGGGUCUU
rnacentral:rRNA from 1 species